GUGAAUUUGGCCUUUGCAGUUGUCCUGGAAGUUAAACCCAAUGCAUCACCAUCAGAUCCACAAGAAGAAGUGUCUAUUCUUGCAGUUCUGCUUUGAAAAAAGGUGGAUGUUUCAGAAAGUGUUCAACUUAUUUACUGGCUGCACUUUUAAAUCCAAACUAAUCUGUACAUUACAAACCCUGAACUCCAGCAUUUCUGAGAGCUGUGAAUUACUGUUUCCAUUUGAGCGAAACUUCUGGAAACAGACAACACAAAUUUACAUUAACUUUUUGGGAAUGAUCAUGGAAGAUCUACCUUUUCCCAUCCCACGCUGUGGUCACCACACUGCCAGAGGGGAGUUUCUGUUAUCAUUUCUUGCAUCCUAUUUCCUAACCUUUUGUGGAGCUACCUUUUUGUGUUCAGUUAAUGACACCAUUUUAAAAUACAAAGGACACUCUCUGAUCUCUGUUUUUGAGAGACAGCACCUUUGGUUCUGGCGUCCUGAUUAGAGAUGUGCCCUUUUCAGUGAUUUAGAGCUGUGAAAUGGCUCCUGUUGUUCCACUCCGAGGCUGUGGGUAUCUCACAGGAUAAAUCUGGAAGAGCUGUAGAGCGCAGAUGAUUUUUGGCAAGUAUCAUUUUAUCAUCAAAAUUUUAUUUUUGGGUCGCUCUUCAGCUGCCGCCUUCUGUGAAGGAAAACGACGCCCAUUUUAUGUCUUUUAUUAUGUAUUCCCGGGUAGUCUUUUCUACUUAGAGCAAAAUUAAUGGGAGCUCUGGCAGAGAUAAUGUGAGGUGGGGAUGGAUGGAUGGAGGUGGAACUGAGGUGGACUGUCACCUUUGAAUGUAGAGACAUAGCUCAUGUCCUCAGAGCUGGGAGUUUCACAGAAAGCCAGUCAGAAAAAUAGUAUUUUUUUUAUCUAUAUCUAUAUAGUAGAUCUUCACUACACAUACAAUUAGAUAUAUUGUGUAUAAGUAAUAUUUUGGAUCAAAAUAAUACAGUGUAUAUGUAUACUGUACAUGUAUUUAUAGUGCAUAUAUAUAUACUAUGUAAAAUAUUUAAGAUAUAUUGUAAUAUACAUUAUAUUAUAUAUUAUUUAUAGUGUAAGGACUUUAUAUUGAUAGUUUUGAUUUUACAAACUUGUCCUUGUUCAAUUUUCCCAGUGGCUAUUUCUCACAAUUAUAUAAUAUAUACUAGUGUUUAUAUACAUAAUAAAUACAUUUUAUAUAUUGUAUAUAUAUUCUAU
rnacentral:lncRNA from 1 species